GUUUCUCUCUAAAUAAGGAAGGUUCCCUAGAGAAUAACUCGCUGGAAUUCACUCCCUCAAGAAAUGACUGCAUAGUUUGAUCACUUACAUGAUGGAGUUUCUUUGCCCAAAAUGACUGCAGAAAAGCAAAGCUGACAGUUGCUUUCUUCUGGCACCCUCCUCAGCAACCUGCUCAUAAGCCUUCUCUAGUACUACUGGAUGACUUACUCCAGCAAUUGCAAGGAAGGGACACAGCUCAAACAGUUAAGCAGAGAGUAAACUCACAGAGAAAAAAAAAUAGAAUCAUUUCAAUAAAUAAUUGUAUGCUAGGGCAGCUAAAA